rnacentral:rRNA from 1 species
UCGAGGGGUAUAGGUUUUCGGACCUAGAGACCGGCGCACGGGUGCGUAACGCGUAUGCAAUCUACCUUUUACAGAGGGAUAGCCCAGAGAAAUUUGGAUUAAUACCUCAUAGUAUUAUUGAAUGGCAUCAUUUAAUAAUUAAAGUUCCAACGGUAAAAGAUGAGCAUGCGUCCCAUUAGCUUGUUGGUAAGGUAACGGCUUACCAAGGCAACGAUGGGUAGGGGUCCUGAGAGGGAGAUCCCCCACACUGGUACUGAGACACGGACCAGACUCCUACGGGAGGCAGCAGUGAGGAAUAUUGGUCAAUGGGCGCAAGCCUGAACCAGCCAUGCCGCGUGCAGGAUGAAGCAUCUAUGGUGUGUAAACUGCUUUUGUACGAGAAGAAACACUCCUACGUGUAGGAGCUUGACGGUAUCGUAAGAAUAAGGACCGGCUAACUCCGUGCCAGCAGCCGCGGUAAUACGGAGGGUCCAAGCGUUAUCCGGAAUCAUUGGGUUUAAAGGGUCCGUAGGCGGUUUUGUAAGUCAGUGGUGAAAGCCCAUCGCUCAACGGUGGAACGGCCAUUGAUACUGCAAGACUUGAAUUAUUGGGAAGUAACUAGAAUAUGUAGUGUAGCGGUGAAAUGCUUAGAGAUUACAUGGAAUACCAAUUGCGAA